CUGCUAUCGAGGUUCGACUAAGCCAUGCGAGUCGAAUGUAGCAAUACAUGGCGUACUGCUCAGUAACACGUGGACAACCUACCCUCCGGACGGGUAUAAACCCGGGAAACUGGGUAUAAUCCCCGAUAGAUCUCGGUCGCUGGAAUGCCCCGAGAUCGAAAGCUCCGGCGCCAGAGGAUGGGUCUGCGGCCUAUCAGGUAGUAGUGGGUGUAGCGUACCUACUAGCCUACGACGGGUACGGGUUGUGAGAGCAAGAGCCCGGAGAUGGAUUCUGAGACACGAAUCCAGGCCCUACGGGGUGCAGCAGGCGCGAAAACUUUACAAUGCCGGCAACGGCGAUAAGGGGACCUCGAGUGCCAGGUUACAAAUCUGGCUGUCGUGAUGCCUAAAAAGCAUUGCAUAGCAAGGGCCGGGCAAGACCGGUGCCAGCCGCCGCGGUAACACCGGCGGCUCGAGUGGUAACCGUUAUUAUUGGGUCUAAAGGGUCUGUAGCCGGCCGGAUAAGUCUCUUGAGAAAUCCAGCAGCUCAACUGUUGGGCUUUCAGGAGAUACUGUUCGGCUCGAGGCCGGGAGAGGUGAGAGGUACUUCAGGGGUAGGGGUGAAAUCUUGUAAUCCUUGAAGGACCACCAGUGGCGAAGGCGUCUCACCAGAACGGACCUGACGGCAAGGGACGAAAGCUAGGGGCACGAACCGGAUUAGAUACCCGGGUAGUCCUAGCCGUAAACGAUACUCGCUAGGUGUCGGCCACGGUGCGACCGUUGUCG
rnacentral:rRNA from 1 species